rnacentral:lncRNA from 1 species
CUUUGUUGUAGAAAACAAAAAAGAGAACAAGAACACCACUUGUAUUGGCAGCAACAAUCGAUGCUGGACUCUUGCGUACUGCUGCUGAGAAGAAAAAUGAUGAGGAGAUACUAAUGCAUAUUAGAGACAAAGACUGUGUUGCAUUGGAGGUCCGCUAUCAUGGAAUUUGCUAUAAUAACUACACCAAAUUCAUAACAAAGCCAGUAAAAGAGACAAACACAUGUGCACCAAUCUAUGAAAAGUCAUACAAAGUAUUCUGCAAAGAUGUCAUUGAGUUGGAAGUCAUCAAAGGAAAAGCAAUAAAGUAUAUGAAGGAGUUACUGAGUAAAUUUAUUGUCAUUGGGCUUUCAGCCUCAAGCAACGACUAAUCAAUAGUUACCCUCAACUUGUUUUCUUGAUGCAAAAGUAUAGAACUGUUGGCGAGAUUGUUUAUGCUGAGAACUUGCGUCCAUCUGAUUUUGUUGGGGAACAUAUGUUAAAUAAAUCUAUACAUGAUGAUGAAGACUUUGAUACUAGUUAGUUUUUUGUUACUAGGUACUAGUUUCUUUUAUCUUCAUUAUCGAGACAUCUGUCUUUAUACAUGUAGAUAGGUAAAUCAAUUGAUCUAUGUACAUGUAUAAAGGCAGAUGUCUCGAUAUUGAAGAUACUAUAGUACCUGUUUCGAAAUAUCAAACACAAACCACCUUUCGACUAACUAGUUCCCAACUUGACCUGUACCUCAGUUGGUAGAUCAUCAAACUGGCAACCGAAUGUCGCGGGUUCGAUUCCCAGCCAGCCCAAGUAAAGCUUGGAAAGCACUAAUGGCCAUACAGUGAAUCACCUUUAGUCUGAUACACCUGCCCUACUCUAAUACUAAUUCCAACCCUAACCCUAAAAAGGUUACUCACUGUAUGGCUAUCAGUGUUUUACGUAGAGCUUAUCUCUACUUGUCGAGUAGGGGGGGGCGGGGGGAGGGGCAGGGAGGGACUUUAAUGGGUUAGAAAUGGCUGGGAUGGUGUGAAACAUUGAGCAAUUUCACAUCCAUGAAAUGUCCCAAGUUGUCACCAUUUCUAACCACACCCUUUUUUCCGAAUGGAAAAGCGAUGAAGGCGAGUGUUUGGCGCCUUAAAACCAAAUUGCUCGACAGUCUUCCCAUUGUAAGGGAAGUAUGGUAAGGCUGUCCAUGUUCCGAAUCAGUUUGUCAUGACUUGUGGUAUUAUCUGUUUUCUAGACAUGCUGAUGAGCCCUGAUAUGGGGCGAAACAGUCAUUUUAACAUCUCGGCAUAUAAAAGCAUAAUAAUAUAAUCUCAUAGUCAUACAUCGUGUUAAGCUGGGUUUUUUUCAAACUUUCCCUUUUUUAUGAGUAUGGUUGUCUUGGAAGUAAGAAGUCUCCAUGGUGGAUAGUGGACUGGCGAAAAGGCGUUCCUGAUACUUGGUAAACUAAAGAUGAAUCUGCAUGGAGAAAUGCGCGUUACAGUUUUCAUGAUAAGCAACACAUCACAAAGUUCUAGUCAGCGCGGUUUAAUUACUUUAAUAUAUUGUUUUGUUUUCUCAAGACCUUUUAACAGUUUUGUGAUAUGAUUAAUUGUAAGAAGUUGACAAAGUAAAAAAGUAAUUGUAAAAAUAAUUGUAAAAAUAAUUGAACAUUAUUAACAGUUAUCUGAGCAUUUUAUUAUUUUUGGUAGUUGUGUAUACUUGUUUUAAAAUAUGAUUGCGAGCAUCGUGUAGUGUAUAUAUCAUCC